AGGGCGAUGUGGCGGGGGAGGGACAAGCCCGGCCCCGCCGCCGCCGCGGGAGGAGGGUAACGCACGGACUCUCCCUCGCUCCCUGCCGGCGGCAGGAUCCCAAUCCCGAGGAGGCAGCACCCCUGGCCGCUGCACCGAGCAGGAGUCCGGCUACUUUUCCUGCUUCACAGGCCAGAAAAGAAGGAAGGUCCUGCCCCUUAUUUGUGCGGCUUUCUCCAGAGCAAAUUCUGAAGCUGCUCCCAAAAUGAAUAGGCACUCACAGAACUGAUAGUCAAGGCCUAUUGAUUUUUGCUCCAGACUCUCAUUUCCACAUUCUCUUUCUACAAAGCCUUAGAUCCAGGCUUAGUUACUGCUGUGUAAUCUCUGAAAAAUAUGUGUUUCAU